GGAUGUGAGGGCGAUCUGGCUGCGACAUCCGUCACCCCAUUGAUCGCCAGGGUUGAUUCGGCUAUCUGGCUGGCUAGGCAGGUGUCCCCUUCCUCCCUCACCGCUCCAUGUGCGUCCCUCCCGAAGCUGCGCGCUCGGUCGAAGAGGACGACCAUCCCCGAUAGAGGAGGACUGGUCUUCGGUCAAGGGUAUACAAGUAGCUGCGCUCCCCUGCUAGAACCUCCAAACAAGCUCUCAAGAAACAGUGCCAGAAAGGAACUUUUUCCUUAAGGCAGGAUUACUAAACAAAGCCUU
ensembl:misc_RNA 7SK 7SK RNA